rnacentral:rRNA from 1 species
AUUGAACGCUAGCGGGAUGCUUUACACAUGCAAGUCGAACGGCAGCGCGGACUUCGGUCUGGCGGCGAGUGGCGAACGGGUGAGUAAUGUAUCGGAACGUGCCCAGUAGCGGGGGAUAACUACGCGAAAGCGUAGCUAAUACCGCAUACGCCCUACGGGGGGAAGCAGGGGAUCGUAAGACCUUGCACUAUUGGAGCGGCCGAUAUCGGAUUAGCUAGUUGGUGAGGUAACGGCUCACCAAGGCGACGAUCCGUAGCUGGUUUGAGAGGACGACCAGCCACACUGGGACUGAGACACGGCCCAGACUCCUACGGGAGGCAGCAGUGGGGAAUUUUGGACAAUGGGGGCAACCCUGAUCCAGCCAUCCCGCGUGUGCGAUGAAGGCCUUCGGGUUGUAAAGCACUUUUGGCAGGAAAGAAACGUCGCGGGCUAAUACCCCGUGGAACUGACGGUACCUGCAGAAUAAGCACCGGCUAACUACGUG